AUAAAGUUUUAUUUAAGCUUAAAAAUUAGGUAUAUUUUUAAUUUAAAUGUGAAUUUUAGUAUUUUUUUAUUUUUAAAUAGAAUAAAUUUAUUAUGCAUUAAAUAGUAUUAAAUAUUAAAGAAAUUUAGAUUUAGUAAUAAUUUAAGUAUUAACUUAAUUUGUGCCAGCAGUUGCGGUUAUACAAAUAAUACAAUUUAAUUAUUUUAGUUUUAAUAAAUUAAUAUUAAUAUAUUUUAUAUAAUAAUUCAUUAAGUGAAAUUUUGAAUUUUUACAAGAUUGUUAUUUGUUAAUGAAUUAAGAAAUUUUAAAUAUAAACUAGGAUUAGAUACCCUAUUAUUUAAAAUGUAAUUUUAAAAACUAAAUUAGUAAUAGUUAUGUUCUUGAAAAUUAAAGAUUUUGGCGGUAUUUUAGUCUAUUCAGAGGAACCUGUUCUAUAAUUGAUAAUCCACGAUUUAAUUUACUUUUUUUAUAUUAAUUUAUAUAUCGUCGUAGUUUGAAUAUUUUAUAAGAAUUUUAAUAUUCAAGAUUUAUAAUAAUAAAAAAAAUCAGAUCAAGGUGUAGUUUAUAAAAAAGAAGAAAUGGGUUACUUUAAUUAAAAUUUAAGAUAAUUAUUAUUAUAAUAAUUUGAAUUAGGAUUUGAUAGUAAUUUUAAUUAAUUAAUUAAAAUGAUUUUAGCUCUAAAAUAUGUACAUAUCGCCCGUCGCUUUCAUUUUAAUGUGAAAUAAGUCGUAACAAAGUAGAUUUACUGGAAAGUGAAUCUAGAUACAA
rnacentral:ncRNA from 1 species